UACAUCUUCAUUUAAAGCAAAGUUUUUAAAUAAUACACCAUAGUCUUAUUUUAAUGAAGGGAAUGAAUUUGACUUAUUUUGUUUCAUUAGCUCAGUUUAACCUUGAUUUAAGACAAUUUUUCGGGUCUGACUUGAAAUAAAUAAAACCAUGGUAAAUUAUCUCUCAUUUAGAAGUGGGUAAAAUUUACAAUAACUCUUUCUAGAAAUUAGUGUCCAUAUUAUGUGGUGACUCUGUGUAACUGUGGGCUGAUCACAUGGUUUCACCCUGGCAACAUAGCUUUCAAGUAUCUGGCCCUGUCAACUAUCAAUGAUAGGUUAUGAUGCACCUAAUAUGGUCAAGAUGGGUAACAUAAAAUAGGGAUUUAAUUCCAAAAAGUGAGUCUGAGAAAUGGUUAACACAUUCAAGGAAGGUAGCAGGUACGCCAAUUACCUAUUUUCAGAACAGGGAGGUAGCAACAAAAAAUAACAAUACAGGACUCUCUUGAGACCCUAUAAUUUGAAUAAGUACACUAUAUAUUCCUUUAAUGAGGAUCAACUGGAGAGCAAAUCUGGUGUCAACAGUCAUGGUAAUUUUAACUCCAAUUUCACUGUGGUUACAGAGUUUGUAGUUGGAUCUCAGGUCCAGAAGGGUUUGUAGUUGGAUCUCAGGUCCAGAAGGGUGGUUAUUGCCUGUUCUGAAUAGCCAGACGGUUUCAAUUAUUGAUCAACAAUUAUAUUGGUUGACCAACAAGUUUAAUUUAUAAAAAUUAUGUGCUCAAAGCAGGCAUGAUGUCUGAAAUGGUAAUGGUAUAAUGGAAUAAAUAGACCUCAGUUCUAUUUUGUUUUCCUUAGGAAUACACGACAAUGAUUAAGUGGAACAGAAGGAGCAUUUGCAUCAUGGCAUUAUGGGUGAAAUCUUGGAAUGUUGCAACUUGGAUACCGCAAAAGCAUUUAUGAUAUUUUUAAACAUAUAUCUCUAUCUAAAUAAGCACUGAAAAUGACACACUGAUCUCAAAUCAAGU
rnacentral:ncRNA from 1 species